rnacentral:rRNA from 1 species
GCUUAACACAUGCAAGUCGAACGGAGUAUUUUUUAGGCUUGCUUAAAAAAUAUUUAGUGGCAGACGGGUGAGUAACACGUGGGAAUCUACCCAUCAGUAUGGAAUAACCUUUGGAAACGAAGACUAAUACCAUAUAUCUUCUACGGAAGAAAGAUUUAUCGCUGAUGGAAGAGCCCGCGCUAGAUUAGGUAGUUGGUGGGGUAAUGGCCUACCAAGCCUGUGAUCUAUAGCUGGUCUGAGAGGACGAUCAGCCACACUGGAACUGAGACACGGCCCAGACUCCUACGGGAGGCAGCAGUGGGGAAUAUUGGACAAUGGGCGCAAGCCUGAUCCAGCAAUGCCGCGUGAGUGAUGAAGGUCUUCGGAUUGUAAAACUCUUUCAGUAGGGAUGAUAAUGACAGUACCUGGAGAAUAAGCUCCGGCUAACUCCGUGCCAGCCGCCGCCGUAA